GGCCUCGUAGCUCAGUGGAUUAGAGCGUCUCCCUCCGAAGGAGAAGGUCGCAGGUUCGAUUCCUGCCGAGGUCACCA
rnacentral:tRNA from 1 species